AUGUCUCCCUGCAGGCUUGUGACGAUGUUCAGUUCAAUUGGCUGUGCUGCUCUGAACACAUCUGAGCUGGUUUCUUCAUCCACACAUCUGGCCAAUGUACAAGCGUCCUGGACUGAAUGUGAGAACACCAGGCUGCUGCCUUUCCCAGCCUCCCGGCCCUGGAGAGCGGCGUGGACACUCCUAAUGUGGGAAUAUCCAGGAGGGGACACAGGACACAAUCCAAGCCAACCGGUUAAUGUUCUUGUUGACGUCACUGAAGUGGAACGAGUUAAAGGACGUUCCCGACUGACUCCUCCGAAGCUGUGAUCUGCCGUGCCAGAUGCUAAUUCCACCAUAGUGUGAGUCAGUUCACGUAAACGCACUCAUGGAAGGAAAGAAUGAGGGAUCUGUCAUGUGAUGCGACCACAUUAAGCCUGAAGCACAUGUAUUUCUGAGAGAAUACAGUAUAUUUAAUUCAAAAGUUCAACUUUUAUCAAGUUUUCUGUUAGCCCACUGUAAAAAUCUAGACAUAAUAGAACCCUCUCCACCGAAUGAUGCAAGAUCUCACACAGACCAUACAUCAUCACGCCAUUUCUGUCAGUUUCUAACAGCCUAUGAACUUAUCUGUCAUCUUUAAACUAAAAUACAGGAUCUUUACAGGAGUUUAAAUGAUCACACUCCUUUAAAUGAGAGCGCUGUCUGAUGACUUGUAAUCUUGUCUUCUGCGAUCUGAUUUGGAGUAAGAUCAUGGUGCUUUUAACUUGACCGAGAAUCUGAUGAGUGCAAAGCAUGUUCAGAUGAUUCAUUAUGGAAAAUGUCAAAGCGGCUAGUACUAUUUGUCCUCCCUCGUCUCUUUAUCUUGCUCUGCUCAUGCCAUACUUGUUCAAGAGUCUGACAGGGCUGAUUUUUUUUGGUACUAGUCACUAUUUUUGUGUGCAUUUCUUUUCUAUAAAUAGCCAGAUGUGGGCAGCUUAGGUGGAGACCAUGAUGUGAGCGAUGAGAACAUAAAUGUCAGCUCUCACCACUGUUCACUGCCCACCGCGACACAGACUGGCAGUUUAGACCGCUGCCGUGCAUUGUGAGCAUUCACUUUUGAAAAGUCAGCAGCAGUGUAACCAUACAAUAGAUUUUCUAUUUCCUUAUAAGUUCCUAACCAACAGUUUAUCUUAUGUAAUAAAUUUGUAAAUGUAUCUUACUUUAUGUGUUUAGAUAUGUGUAAAUAAAUAUUAGUUUAAUAUCAAUUAAUAUCAUAUUGAUAUCAUCAUUUUAUUUUUAUUAAAUAUUUAAGAGAGAGAAAGAGUGUGUGUGUGUGUGUGUGUGUGUAUGUGUGUGUGUGUGUGUGUGUGUGUGUGUGUGUGUGUGUGUGUGUAUAUAUAUAUAUAUAUAUAUAUAUAUAUUGGAUCUGAAUAUCUAAACAUUCUCAAAGCAAGAUACAUUUAAGUGUACGAUAAUAAGACUUGCUCAUCUGAGAAUAAAUUACAAAUUAAUUAUUAUUUUUAAUAAAAUAUUUUUUUAGCUUUUUUAAAAAUUUUUAAACCAUUUAGCUUAUUUUAUGUUAGUGCUGUAAGAUUUCUUCACUGAUUUAAAGAAAAAAAAAAAAACAAAGAUAACAGAGCUCCUCAGAGACAUAAACCCUAUAGAAUAUGUUCCUCACAUGUCAAGUUAAUGUAUAAAGGAAGUGCAGUCAGCACACGGGCCAAUAAAUCAGAUCAAGAUCAAAUGUUAUGGCAUGAGAGUUUAACAGGAAGGAAGCUCAAACAGGCUGCCAUACUCCUAAACAGGACUAGCUUUUUUCUUCACACUGCUUACUUUUGGCAUAUCAUGCAAAAGUCGGGUUCUAGAAGUAAAAACCCAACUGAUUUUCUACAUUAAAUAAGCUUUAGAAGUAAUGAAUAGCCUAAACCAUUCAAAAUAAAUCUACUGUACACUC
ensembl:lncRNA